rnacentral:lncRNA from 1 species
CCAACCACUAGAUUUAUAGAUUCUGAACUAAAAUAUCUUACCACCAACUAUUUCCAGAAAUAAUUUGAAAUCACGGACCUCCAUGUAAACGUCGAAAACUCUAUUCCAAUUCCCCUGUACCCAUAUCAUACAAGUAAACUAACUAAUAGUGUGCUACCACUAGAAACACAGACUGCCCCGAAACGACUAAAAACUUGGAAAAGGGCAUGCAUGAGUGGCGAGAGAUUAAUAUGCUGUCUUGCCAUGCUCCAUGUUCAUGGCGAUAAGGAUGUCAGCAGACCAAAUAUUCUGAAACGAUGUGACAAAACCGGUCAUAGAAAAAUUGGCAAUAUCUACUGAAUCGAUGUGUGUUCUAUGUUCUUGCGACAGACUCACAUUGCUAUUUGGAAUUGUAUGUGACAUA